UGUUCUGUGGCUUAGUUGGUCAAGGCGCCGGUCUAGCGAAUAUGGAGUUGUGGGUUCAAAUCUCACCGGAACGC
rfam:Aedes albopictus isolate Foshan contig110941, whole genome shotgun sequence.